rnacentral:miRNA from 1 species
GCAGACACAUUCCAGCCAAUGAGCAGCAGACCCUCCCUCCCAGACCCUCCCACCUCCUGGACAGCAUCCAUUUUACAUUCAUUGUGAAGCUGCAUUCUUAGUGAGCUGUCCAGGAGGUGGGAGGGUCUGGGAGGGAGAGUCUGCUGCUGAUUGGCUGGAAUGUGUCUG